UAGGGAAUCUUCGGCAAUGGACGAAAGUCUGACCGAGCAACGCCGCGUGAGUGAAGAAGGCUUUCGGAUCGUAAAACUCUUUUGUUAGAGAAGAACAAGGACGUUAGUAACUGAACGUCCCCUGACGGUAUCUAACCAGAAAGCCACGGCUAACUACGUUCCAGCAGCCGCGGUAAUACGUAGGUGGCAAGCGUUGUCCGGAUUUAUUGGGCGUAAAGCGAGCGCAGGCGGUUUCUUAAGUCUGAUGUGAAAGCCCCCGGCUCAACCGGGGAGGGUCAUUGGAAACUGGGGGACUUGAGUGAAGAAGAGGUGAGUGGAAUUCCAUGUGUAGCGGUGAAAUGCGUAGAUAUAUGGAGGAACACCAGUGGCAAAGGCGGCUCUCUGGUCUGUAACUGACGCUGAGGCUCGAAAGCGAGGGGAGCAAACAGG
rnacentral:rRNA from 1 species